rnacentral:rRNA from 1 species
UACGUAGGGACCAAGCUUGUUCGGAUUUACUGGGCGUAAAGGGCGCGUAGGCGGCGCGGUAAGUCACUUGUGAAAUCUCUGAGCUUAACUCAGAACGGCCAAGUGAUACUGCAGUGCUAGAGUGCAGAAAGGGCAAUCGGAAUUCUUGGUGUAGCGGUGAAAUGCGUAGAUAUCAAGAGGAACACCUGAGGCGAAGGCGGGUUGCUAGGCUGACACUGACGCUGAGUGCGCGAAAGCCAGGGGAGCAAACGGG